CUCGGUUGUGGUGAUGAUCGCCCGCACUGCGGGAGGAAAGUCCGGACAUUCUUUGUAACUAUGUAUAGUAACAAAACAACAGGUAACAGGUAACGCCUGCCCGGGGAAACCCGCGGGGUGCGAACAGAGACGGCACAAUUUGAAAGGAUUGCGCCACCCCUUUGGGGUGAGUCGUAUUGGCAACAAUACGAUUGAAACGGCUAAAUCCCUACCCGAAUGCAAGGCCGUGCGCCAUACGUGGCGAGUGCCGCACGAGCAGAUCGGUGACGAUCUGCCCAGAUAAAUGAUCAUCCUCGACAGAAUCCGGCUUACUAUCAACCAAUACAA
rnacentral:RNase_P_RNA from 1 species